AUGGGGAAGGGAAGUCGGGAUGAUCGGCUGAGCAAGUUGCCCGAUGACAUUUUGCUCAACAUCGUCGACCGGCUUGGGAUUUUCGACGUCGCAAGAGCCAGCUCCCUGUCCAAAAGGUGGAGGCGGAUCCCUGCCAUGCUCUCGAAAAUCGACAUCACGGUUGGUUCCUUUCGGCUGGCACAAGACAGGUCCAACGUGACGAGUGACGAUGUCGUUCGUGCCAGUUCCACCACCGUUGAAGCAACCAGGAGGAUGCUGGAAAAUAGGCCCCCAAGUCCAUACCCCAUUCACCACCUGUCCGUGCAGUUAUUCUUGGGAGAUGAUUCCAUCUCCAUUGGACAGACCGUGGCCAGCACUAUGGCAACACAAAAGGUUGGUUCGUCCGAAUUCACAAUUUUAACGUACAAGGAUGGCAGGAAAUGCACCUAUGAUGAAUUGGCUGCUUACGGGAGGCAGCUCAGGUCGUUUGUUGAUGCUUGCCCGGUCGCAUUUGGUGGUCUCACACGCCUCAAGCUGGAACAUUUGACGCUGGCUCAAUCGGAUUUCCCGGAAAUAUUUGGUAUCUGUAAGAGGCUGGAGUUCCUCCACUUGUUCAACUGCGACGUGGAGAUUUCGUCUUCUCUACAAGUGGAACACCCUCAACUCAGCCAACUUGAGAUUAUCAACUGCAGAUUUGAGGGUGGUGUUUAUCUGAAAUGGCUACCAAAGCUUGCACUGCUGACUUUUAAAGGUUGGCUCUCACAGGAGGAUCCUUUUUGCGUUGGUCAUGCCCCACUGCUCCAGCGUGUGAGCAUCACUAAUAUUGGUCUUUCUUAUCACAAGAUGCUCAAGUUAAGUGAGAUCCUUGGCAAAGCAACGAUAAGUGAUCUCCAUCUCAAUUUCAGAAGCGAAAAGAUUUGGGUUAAACCAGAAGGUCCAAGACAACUGUGGCAGGUGUUUCGUUCACUAAAGGUCGCGACUUUGGAUAACAUUUCUGAAGAAUGUGAUCUGAUUUGGACGUUAUUCAUUCUCCAAGGUGCACCCUUCCUGAAGGAGCUGUGCAUACAGGUGUGGGAUAAUGUAUGCGAUAUGAUAAGAGAUGAGGAAGAGAGGAAGAAGCAUGCGUUUAGCGAGGAGAGGAAGGACAAAGGCGCAGAGUGGGAAGGACUGGCAUCUGAUUUCAAGCACCACAAUCUGGCUGUGCUAAGGAUUUAUGGGUUUCAAGCAGAAUGCAAGUUCUUUGAAUUUAUUAGAAGUGUGAUGGAAGCUGCAGUUGAUCUCGAAGGCAUAUACCUGCAUAACAGGGUAUUGUGUAAAAGGCGCAAUAUCAUGGUUCCAAGCACUUCCAAAUAUCCGAAAACAUAUAAGCAGAAGAUGUCGGUGAGGAACAAAAUCUACAAGGGCAAUUGCUGGAUGGUUGGGAUACACUUCCCGGGCUGA
rnacentral:rRNA from 1 species